rnacentral:tRNA from 1 species
GCUCGUCUAGUUCAGUUGGUAGAGCAUGAGACCCUUAAUCUCAGGAUUGGGGGUUCGAGCCCCACAUUGGGUG